CUGGUGGUGGGCUUUAAGUCAGAAUCCAACACUUAUUCUAGUCUGCGCAUGGCCUGCCCAUUAUUUUAUUUACCACUUCCAUCUGCGCCUCUUUCCUGUACUGUGCACUUAGUCAGUUUUGGUAAGUCCACAAACUAACCCUAGCCAAAAUGAGUGAAAAACAAAUGUCACUAGAGAGCUUCUUUGAAAAGGGGAAAGACCCAAUGAUGAGACAGCAGAAGAUUCUAAGACUGCCAAUAAAAAGCUCCAUUUAAAAGAAAAUACCAAGAGUCCUACUUGAAUUAUGGGUUCAUUGCAAUAGGUGAUUCACAUUUUCCAACUGCUUUGUAUAAUAUGUGGCAACCAGUUAUCCAACAAGCCAUGAAACUUUUAAAACUACUUUGCCACAUGGAGACCAAGCACCUUGCAUUAAAAGACAAGUCUUUGGAGUUUUUCAAAAGAAAAAAACAUGAACAUGAAGAACAGAAGCAAUUAUUGAAAGCCACCAUUUCAUCAAAUAUGUCUGUACUGAAAGCAUCAUUCUUAGUAGCUAACCACAUUGCUAAAGUUAAGAAGCCCUUUACUCUUGGUGAAAAGUUGAUCCUGCCUGCUGCUAAGGACACUUGUCGUGAACUUUUAGGGGAGGCUGCAGUUCAAAAGGUGGCAUAUGUUCCUUUUUCAGCUAGCGCUAUAACUAGACAAACUGAUAAAAUAGCAGACAAUACUGAGGCGCAGUUGUCAGAGAGGAUUAAUGAGUCACCGUGAUACACAAUCCAGGUUGACAAGUCUACCGAUGUUGACAACGAGGCAACAAUGCUUGUUUUUAUGCGAUACAUUUUCAGGAGGAUGUAUAUGAAGAUAUGUUAUGUGUACUUUUGUUGCCAGCCAACACCACAGCUGCAGAAAUAUUCAAGUCUCUGAGUAAUUACAUAUCAGGAAAACUAAAUUGGUCAUUUUGUGUUGGUAUAUGCACAGAUGGAGUGGCUGCCAUGACUGGACCUUUCUGGUUUCACUACUUGGGUCAAAGAGGUCACUUCUGAAUGUAUUAACAUCACCCUGGUUGCUAACUCCAGUUGUAACAAUGCUAUUAAUAACAAAUAAUUAAAUUCAUUGGUUGCAAAUUUCCCCUCAACACUUACAUAUGCCGUAACUUUAAAGAUGGAAGAGGUGAAAGAUUGCUUCUCCCUCCCUAUUUAUGUAAAAUGAAGAGAGAAGAGAAGGAAGAAGGUGGACUAUGUGGGAGGGUGAUGGUAUGUAUGUGUGUUUGAGCUUGUGCAGCUAUUGGGGAAGGCCAGACCUAAGCAAUCUCAGGGUUCAAGAUUCUUAGGCAGUUUUCAUCUCUGAAACACUUUAUUCAGAUUUAAACCCAGGAAGCACGUAAUUAAAUUGAUUUUUGUAUAAUUCUAUGACAUGGGUUGAGGUCUAUUUCUUUUUUUUCUCUGUGCUUAAGAUAUACUGCUUGAAAGUUGAAGGCUACAUUUAAAAUUCUGUGCUUAUCCAAGGGAUGACUAUAACCACUACAUAUAGAACACUUGUAUAUACCUACAUAACCACCCAGAUCAAAAUAUGAAACAUAUCUAUGGUUAUAUCUAAUUUUAAAUAUUGAUCUGGAGGUGGUUAUAUAGGUAUAAACAUAUAUAAAAAUUCACUAACCUGUAUGUACACUAUGAUUUGUUCACUUUACUAUAUGUA